rnacentral:rRNA from 1 species
UACGUAGGGUGCGAGCGUUAAUCGGAAUUACUGGGCGUAAAGCGUGCGCAGGCGGCUUCGCAAGUCAGACGUGAAAUCCCCCGGGCUUAACCUGGGAAUGGCGUUUGAAACUACGGAGCUGGAGUGUGGUAGAGGGAGGCAGAAUUUCCUGUGUAGCGGUGAAAUGCGUAGAUAUAGGAAGGAAUACCAGUGGCGAAGGCGGCCUCCUGGAUCAACACUGACGCUGAGGUGCGAAAGCGUGGGGAGCAAACAGG